rnacentral:lncRNA from 1 species
AGUGGCAUCAGGGUCACGAAGCCCAGGAACCGUUGAGUCAUCAAGACGUUUAAACCAUGGGGCGGGAGCGAGCACCAGCCGGUGCCUGAGGGCAUCGGAUUCACUUCCCAACCACUCUUUAUGGGCUAUUUUUGUAGCCAGCCACUCGAUGUGGUUGCAGUGGGAAUGGGCAAGGGUAGAGGAAGGAAGGAGAGUGCUCUCUUGUGGUGCGACAAGUGGGUGCUCAUGCGCCCCCUCUGGGCAAACAAGUAAGGUGCAGCUAUAUUCAGACAGAGAAGACGCUCCUGUGUCCUCCUAGGCGGUUGCACUCCUGCCCACCUCAAUUUUAGAAAAGAACAGGAGGAUAAUUUCUGAAUAUUAAUGCCAGGACAUGAAAGCCAGACUCAGUCUCCGGAGGCCUGUUUAUAGUACUUGAACCCAAUCAUAGCAUUUGAGACUGUAUACUCCCACAUGCGCCUGGACAAUGAAAGAAAAGAAAAAUGUACUUUUCCCCCCCAAACAGCAGCUGGAAGGCAAGCUAUCUUUAAGUAAGGAGCACACCUCCGUUCUUCCCUGAAGGAGAUUGUCACCUAGCUCUCAAGCCUGCCUGUGACGAUGCCUCAUCAACCUGCAGCG